CCUGGACAGAGACCAAUCAGAGGAGGAGGAACCCUAGUAAGCUCCUCCUCCUGUUCUCUGUUCAAGCUUGUGAUGUUCCACAACCAGUAGGCUGACCUCGCUUAGAAGCGCAUGUUCGACAACAGAAGAGGCUUCUCCUAUAAAGCAUUGAGGAAAGCAGCUCACACAGCAGGGCAUCGGAAGAAGAAUGAUACAUCCCUGAUUCUAGAUGCAUUAUGGAUAUUGAGUGGAGAUAUUUUGCAUAUAAGAUGACAAACCUGAGGGGGAAGGAGAAUCAUCAUCUCCUGCUGGAGAGAACUGGUCUGUUCCU